rnacentral:rRNA from 1 species
UACGGAGGAUCCGAGCGUUAUCCGGAUUUAUUGGGUUUAAAAGGGUGCGCAGGCGGGAGAUUAAGUCGGCGGUGAAAUUUUGCAGCUCAACUGUAAAAGUGCCUUCGAAACUGGUUUCCCUGAGUGUGGAUGAAGUAGGCGGAAUUCGUGGUGUAGCGGUGAAAUGCAUAGAUAUCACGAGGAACUCCGAUUGCGCAGGCAGCUUACUAAACUACUACUGACGCUCAGGCACGAAGGCGUGGGGAUCAAACAGGAUUAGAUACCCUGGUA